UACGAAGGGGGCUAGCGUUGUUCGGAAUUACUGGGCGUAAAGCGCACGUAGGCGGAUUGUUAAGUUAGGGGUGAAAUCCCAGGGCUCAACCCUGGAACUGCCUUUAAUACUGGCAAUCUCGAGUCCGAGAGAGGUGAGUGGAAUUCCGAGUGUAGAGGUGAAAUUCGUAGAUAUUCGGAAGAACACCAGUGGCGAAGGCGACUACUGGCUGUAUGACGCUGAGGUGCGAAAGCGAGGGGAGCAAACGGG
rnacentral:rRNA from 1 species